GACGAACGCUGGCGGCGUGCUUAACACCUGCAAGUCGAACGGAAAGGCCCUGCUUUUGUGGGGUGCUCGAGUGGCGAACGGGUGAGUAACACGUGAGUAACCUGCCCUUGACUUUGGGAUAACUUCAGGAAACUGGGGCUAAUACCGGAUAGGAGCUCCUGCUGCAUGGUGGGGGUUGGAAAGUUUCGGCGGUUGGGGAUUGACUCGCGGCUUAUCAGCUUGUUGGUGGGGUAGUGGCUUACCAAGGCUUUGACGGGUAGCCGGCCUGAGAGGGUGACCGGCCACAUUGGGACUGAGAUACGGCCCAGACUCCUACGGGAGGCAGCAGUGGGGAAUAUUGCACAAUGGGCGGAAGCCUGAUGCAGCAACGCCGCGUGCGGGAUGACGGCCUUCGGGUUGUAAACCGCUUUCGCCUGUGACGAAGCGUGAGUGACGGUAAUGGGUAAAGAAGCACCGGCUAACUACGUG
rnacentral:rRNA from 1 species